rfam:Helianthus annuus linkage group 11, whole genome shotgun sequence.
UGGCCUGUGAGGAAAUUUCUAUUAAAGAACACCAUCUUUCGGGACUGAUUGAUCUUUUUCAAAGAUUUUGAUGUUAAUUCUGCAAUUCUGAGGCCG